rnacentral:rRNA from 1 species
UUGAACGCUGGCGGCAGGCCUAACACAUGCAAGUCGAGCGGAUGAAGGGAGCUUGCUCCUGGAUUCAGCGGCGGACGGGUGAGUAAUGCCUAGGAAUCUGCCUGGUAGUGGGGGAUAACGUCCGGAAACGGGCGCUGAUACCGCAUACGUCCUGAGGGAGAAAGUGGGGGAUCUUCGGACCUCACGCUAUCAGAUGAGCCUAGGUCGGAUUAGCUAGUUGGUGGGGUAAAGGCCUACCAAGGCGACGAUCCGUAACUGGUCUGAGAGGAUGAUCAGUCACACUGGAACUGAGACACGGUCCAGGCUCCUACGGGAGGCAGCAGUGGGGAAUAUUGGACAAUGGGCGAAAGCCUGAUCCAGCCAUGCCGCGUGUGUGAAGAAGGUCUUCGGAUUGUAAAGCACUUUAAGUUGGGAGGAAGGGCAGUAAGUUAAUACCUUGCUGUUUUGACGUUACCAACAGAAUAAGCACCGGCUAACUUCGUG